UUGUAUAUCGAUCGAACGUCGAAAACGCUAUUUCCACGGGUGAAUUUAUUAACAUCGAUCACGCUCAACUACGAAAUAUAUUCUGCUGCGUUCCUUAACCUAACAACCAUACAAGCCAUCGUUAUUUUCGAUUAUACAAUGGAAGAACUACGACGUUCGCAUUUUCGUCAUCAAUUUUACUUAUUUACAAUGAGAAAUGAUGUUGGACACACGACAACGACGACUGAUCGAAACUUUACAAGCACGUGGGGAAGCCAUUGGAAAGAUGACGUAAUAUGUACGUACGACGGUCCACAUCUUUCUUGCUGUCGCUUACUCCGCCAUUCUGAAUUAUUUCGUGGCGUUUGUCGCAAGCCAGCUUCGUCCUCUCGUUGACUGCAGAAUGGGAGAGGUACGACGUCUGGAUUUUCGUCUUCAAUUUUACUUAUUUACAAUGAGAAAUGGUGUUGGACACACGACGACGAGUGAUCGAAACAACAAGCACGUGGGGAAGCCAUUGCAAAGCUGACGUAACGCGCAUGCUCGACGAUACAGCUUCCUUGUUGCCGCUUAAUCCGCCAUUCUGAAUCAGUUCGUGGCACGUGUCCCAACCAAGCUUCGUCCUCUCGUUAAUUGCAGGAUGGAAGAGGUACGAUGUUCGGAUUAUCAAUUUUACUUACGUACGAUAAGAAGUGAUAUUCGAUACAGGACGACGAGUGGGCGUAGAUUCUGUAAAUUUGUUCGUCAGCGUUAACAACACAGUGUGGCCCAUGUUCCUAGAAAGAAGCAAGAUUGAUUUGGCUAGAGUUCAACAGAGUAGACGUCUUCCGUUUAAGUUUAUACAUUCAUUCUUCGAUUAAGCAGUGUUCUUUCAGCGAAACUUCUUUUAGUAAUUUGCCGUCAGAGUAUAUUUUUUGUUCGAUUGUACAUUUUUUGGGAAGUGCGUUUUAUAUACGUGGAAUAGUUGAUAAUUCGGAAUUCAUUCAAAUUGAUUAACGUUGAUGUAACAUUAUUUCUUUAAUUUUACAUUAGUGGAUUCUACAUGGAUUCUUUCAACCUUCAUCGUCGUCAUGUGAUUAAUAAUCGACAUCAUCAGGAUAGGGAGGAGUUGUGCACGGUCGUCACCGCGCAGUUGAAUCUUUCUAGACGCAACCCACUUUUUAUCGAGCACUUGUUUAUGGUCGAGAUUUGUCUCGUACCAUUUUCUGUGCAUUUACGCUGGUUGCUCUGCCUUCGUCCAGCAUUAUAAAAUAACCGAGGACAUUCUACUCUCCUCCUUAUUUUUUAGACCUGCUUCAGAUGUCGUUAAUUGAUCUCACGUCGAGGACGAUCGAUGGGAAAAUCUAUGUACGCGAACGCGCUUAAUCUACAUUAUUUUAACGAGCCGUCGUCCGUCUUGGAAUAUCACUGCGAAAUAAAAAUUGUAGACUUUUCGUGGAUAGUACAUGAUAGAACGAAUACUGCUUAAAUCACGGAGUGGAUGUAUCAUUCGACGGGUCGUUUCCUGAUUGCUGUAAUGCGGUUGACAGUUCUUUAGCCAUCGAAAUGUUACAAGCACGUGGGGAAGCCAUUGCAAAGGUGACGUAAUGCGCAAGCGCAGCGGUCCACAGCCUCCUUGCUGCCUCAGAAUCCACCAUUUUGAAUAAUGAUUGGCACGUGUUAUGACCAAGCUUUUUUCUUGCAGGAUGGAAGAGGUACGAUGUUCGGAUUAUCAAUUUUACUUACGUACGAUAAGAAGUGAUAUUCGAUACAGGACGACGAGUGGGCGUAGAUUCUGUAAAUUUGUUCGUCAGCGUUAACAACACAGUGUGGCCCAUGUUCCUAGAAAGAAGCAAGAUUGAUUUGGCUAGAGUUCAACAAAGUAGACGUCUUCCGUUUAAGUUUAUACAUUCAUUCUUCGAUUAAGCAGUGUUCUUUCAGCGAAACUUCUUUUAGUAAUUUGCCGUCAGAGUAUAUUUUUUGUUCGAUUGUACAUUUUUUGGGAAGUGCGUUUUAUAUACGUGGAAUAGUUGAUAAUUCGGAAUUCAUUCAAAUUGAUUAACGUUGAUGUAACAUUAUUUCUUUAAUUUUACAUUAGUGGAUUUUAUAUGGAUUCUUUCAACCUUCAUCGUCGUCAUGUGAUUAAUAAUCGACAUCAUCAGGAUAGGGAGGAGUUGUGCACGGUCGUCACCGCGCAGUUGAAUCUUUCUAGACGCAACCCACUUUUUAUCGAGCACUUGUUUAUGGUCGAGAUUUGUCUCGUACCAUUUUCUGUGCAUUUACGCUGGUUGCUCUGCCUUCGUCCAGCAUUAUAAAAUAACCGAGGACAUUCUACUCUCCUCCUUAUUUUUUAGACCUGCUUCAGAUGUCGUUAAUUGAUCUCACGUCGAGGACGAUCGAUGGGAAAAUCUAUGUACGCGAACGCGCUUAAUCUACAUUAUUUUAACGAGUCGUCGUCCGUCUUGGAAUAUCACUGCGAAAUAAAAAUUGUAGACUUUUCGUUGAUAGUACAUGACAGAACGAAUACUGCUUAAAUCACGGAGUGGAUGUAUCAUUCGACGGAUCGUUUCCUGAUUGCUGUAAUGCGGUUGACAGUUCUUUAGCCGAGCUUUAUUUUGAGAGAUAUUAAAUUGAAAAAUUUAUAUCAUAUUUUUAAUAUUCCGAUAUUUUCGUACAAAUGGAUCGAAAUGUUACAAGCACGUGGGGAAGCCAUUGCAAAGGUGACGUAAUGCGCAAGUGCGGCGGUCCACAGCUCCCUUGCUGCCUCAGAAUCCACCAUUUUGAAUAAUUAUUGGCACGUGUUACGACCAAGCUUUUUUCUCUCGUUGAUUGCAGAAUGGAAGAGGUAUGACGUCCAGAUUUUCGUCAUCAAUUUUACUUAUUUACAAUAAUAAAUGGUGUUCGACACACAACGACUGGAUGUAGACGUGAUUUCUUUCGUUAUUGUUGACAUUACAUCGUGGCUAGUUUUCUUAAAAAUAAGCAAGAUGAAUUUAGUUACAUUCGAACAGAAUUGACAUCUUGACAGUACGAACGCUACUUAAAUCGUGGAAGGAAGCGUUCCUUGAUCUAACAACCAGCUAAGGAAUCAUUAUUUUCGAUGAUAGAAAGAAAGAAGUAUGAAGUUCAAAAUUUUCGUCAUCAGUUUUACUUAUCUAUGAUAAGCAAUGGUAUUGGACACAGGACGACAACUGAUGAGCAAUAGUUGACAUAUAUUAUUAUUUAUUUUCACGUUACCCUUUACGAUAACGUUUAGCUAAUUCUACAUUUAUUUUUUCAGGGUAUAGGCAUUGCGAUUUCGUCCGUUAUUGUUAACAAUGCAUCGUGGCCCGUGUUCCUUGAAAUAAGCAUGGUGAAUUUAGUUACAGUCGAACAGAAUUGACAUCUGUUUACACAUUCAUUCUUCGAUUAAACAGUGUUCUGUUAACGAUACUUUUACAUCGGAGUAUAUUUUUCUUCCGAUUACAUUUUUCAUUUAAUAUACAUCGAGUAGCUGAUAAUUCAAAGUUUAUUCAAGUUGGAUAACGUUAUCGUAACUUCAUUCCUUUAAUCGAUGAAAAAAUCUAUGUAAGCGAACGCGUCUUAAAUAACACUAUUUCAACGAAUCAUAUGGUCUCUCUUGAAAUAUCGCUGCGAAAUAGAAACGAUAGGCUUUUCGUCGAUAGUAUACGACAGAACGAACACUGCUUAAAUCGAAAUAUAUGUGUUAAUUGGGUCGUGGAUUCCCGGAUAGCAGUUCCUAAGUAUCACGCUCGUUAGAGCAAGAUGGUUCUUUAUUCUCUUGUCUGAUGAGGAAUACUUAACAUUUUGAUAUUUUUAUUAUAACACUAUUUUUAUUAACUUUGUUAAUUUUUUUUUUUUUCUUUUAGGAAGCCUAUGUUGUAAUUUCGUUCUACUGUUUGGAUACGGAUAAAAGAACAAUUCAACGCUCUAGUUGGAAAUGGUCUUUGUAAAAUUGCGACUCACGGAAAGCCUCCUUCCUCUAGGAUCUAUCAUGAAUAUGAAGAUGAGAGAGGAAAGAAAAGGAGCCAGGAAGAUGCGAUGGAAGCAAUAACGAAGGAUGGAAUCUUGAAGAAUCUUCCAUUGGGUUAAAAUCAGCAAGAAAACAACGCUUCCUUCAUUUUACCGAACCGAAAGAAGACUCGCCUCUCCUUCGUGCGUAUUGCUUCUUUAAAUCUGCUUAAGCUCCAACGUUCUACGUAAUUCUCGGCGAUUUUGCGCACCCCUAAGCGUUUCUGCGUGACACCCUAAGCGAUCCUGCGAUACCCUAAGCGUUUCUGCGAUACCCUGAGCGUUUCUGCGAUACCCUGAGCGUUUCUGCGAUACCCUGAGCGUUUCUGCGACACCCUGAGGGUUUCUGCGACACCCUGAGCGUUUCUGCGAUACCCUGAGCGUUUCUGCGACACCCUGAGGGUUUCUGCGACACCCUGAGCGUUUCUGCGACACCCCCGAGCGUUUCUGCGACACCCCCGAGCGUUUCUGCGACACCCCGAGCGUUUCUGCGACACCCCCGAGCGUUUCUGCGACACCCCGAGCGUUUCUGCGACACCCCGAGCGUUUCUGCGACACCCCGAGCGUUUCUGCGACACCCUGAGCGUUUCUGCGACACCCUCAGCGUACCUGCGCAAUCCCUAACGUCGUAUUCUGUUCAAUUCUCAGCGUUUUGCGUAACCACCAGCAUUUCAAACGAUUCCCCUGCUUUAGUCUUGCGCAUAAUUGCGAUGUUUUACGAAAAAUUACAAGAUAGAAACAAAUUUGUUAGAAUCAUUGUUAUAAUAUUGUUGGAGUUUAUAGAGCGUUGAAAAAAUGAAACUUCAAUUGGAAGGUAGUACAUCAGUUGAUUUUUUCUUUCCGGAAUGUUAACAUAAAAUUGUUUUAUACUUCACAAGAUAUUACGUGCGGUGCAACGUUUAAGCGGUUGUAUUAUUGUUUAAAUCUUAUUUUAUAUCGACCAAUCGUAUAUUAUAGAUUCUUUAAAUAAUUGUAAAGUGAUAGAAAGCAUACAUAAACUUGGGUGCGUUAAGAAAACUAUUAUUUAAGUAUAAUUUUAUAUCGAACAAACGUAUAUUGUAAACCGUUUAAAUAAUUGUAUAGUGAUAAGAAGCGUAUAUAAACAAUGGUGCGUUGAGAAAAAUAUUUAAAUAUAAUUUUAACUCGAGUAAACGUAUAGUAUAGAAUGUUCAAAUAAUUAGUUAAACUAAUAGAAAGUAUACAUAAAUUCUGAUGCGUUGAGAGAAUUAUCGUUUAAUUAUAAUUUUAUACCGAACAAACGUAUAUUGUAAAAUUGUUUAAAUAAUUGUAAAGUGAUAGAAAGCAUACAUAAAUUUGAUGCGUUAAGAGAAUUUUAGACCACCGUUGGGCGUAUCGAAAACCGUCGUCCAGUAUUUAUCCGUAACAACAAACAUCUUUUUAGACAAUUCUUAGGAUAUCGCGUGACCCCAGCUUCGCGAAUAAUUGAAAUGCUCAUAUACUAAAAAAGAAAAAAUAUUUUUAUCAUUGUAAUAAGAAAGCGUCGAAAAAAAAGGAAGGCAGUAUGUAAGCAGAUUUCUGUUCUGCGAAACGUUCGAUUAAAAUUAUUUUCUACGUACUACUUGCGGUAUAAAGCUUGAGCGGCGGGGUUGUAUUCUGUAAAUAUUAGUUUGAUACUACCGAGCGUACAUAUGUAGCGUACAUUGCUUAAAUGAUUGUAAAACGACAAAAAAUAAAAAUGAUCUAGGUUUAGCGCGGUUCAACGCGGUCCAACGCGUGUACCGGAAAUUUUAGGGCAUGGUAGAGCGUUUCAACUACCGUGAAUCCAUUCGUGCGUAAUUAAGCGUGUUGCGUAAUUCCGAACAGAUUGGCGUAACCCUUAGAAAUAUUGCGUAAACCCCUAACCCUUAUUUAGGUAAAUUCUCUGGCUCUGCCAGACGCAACGCAGCGAUUUCGCCCACUACGUGGUUUGGCGUAAGUAUCCAUUUGGCAAGGUAUGGUUUUUUUACACGUAAGUCCUAUCGAUUUUUCGCAACGUCCGACGUGGACACCCAGAGUUUUGUCUUUUUCAGGUUAUCUGCAACCUCGGAGUUAUUUAUUUACCUACAUACUAUCGAGAUUACUGAAGCGAUGGUAUUUUUUUUUGCAUAAUGUUAAGGGCAUUGCGUCGUUUUAAACGAAUGCGCGUAAUCAGUAGUUUUUCUUUAUUUUUUGUAUGAAGCCCAGCGUAUCUAUAUAAUCCUUACAAAUUUUGUGUAAACCUUUGCGUGUAUUCAGCCGAACUUCUGUGGUCUAACUUCGGUGUAAUCCAGACGCGACCCAACGAUUUGCAGUAAGUAUUUUUCUCACUUAAUGCCUUUAUGUUCGUUCCGUAAUUUUACGCGUGUUGCGUAAAUUGCAUAGUAUCUGCAACCCGCAGCUUAUUUUCCUAGGUACCAGCGAAGUUAUUUAAACUGCGGCAUUUUUUUUUUCAUAGUUCGGGAUAUUUUCGUUUUAUCCGAAGAAUCCGCGUUUUUAUAUAGCCUAACGUCUCUGUUUAAACCGUGGCGUGUAUUUAGCUUCAUUUUAGCGUGUCUACUUAACUCUAACGUUUCCACAUUAUCACUUAGUUAUCGACCGUAUUUUUUUUUUUAACGUGAUCUCUAUUCGUCGCGUAAUUCUUCGCGUAUAUAGUAAUUUGGAGGGUAUUUAGAGCCCUAGCUUAUUUUCCAUGAUACUGGAUGGGUUACUUUCCCGACAGAAUAUUUGCAUAGUCCCAGGGGUACUUCCGAUGAAUCGUUGCAAUGUCAAACUUCUUUACAACGCCAAGCGAUUUUGCGAAACCUUUGCACGAUUUGAAAGCCCUAGUGUAACGUAGCGUAUUUUUACAUAACGAUCCCGAGAUUUGUCGAAAGUACUUUUUUCUUUUCUCAUAAUGCUUGUCGGUUUUUCUUUUUGACAUUCUUAACAGCUGCGUUAUUCGUAGAAUACUCUAAGCAGCUUAUUUUCGUAGAUACUAGCUAGGUUAUUGAAACGACAGCAUUUUUUCUUUUUUCUUUUUUAUAAUUCGUAGGGCACUCGUUAGAUCCGACGAAUCUGCGUAAAUACUACGGUUUUACUCGUAGAUGACCGUGUACUUUCAUGUGUAUCUGCAACUAUCAGCUUAUUAAUCGAAGAUAUUACCGAGGUUAUAUGAUCGACUGCAUUUAUUUUGCAUAAUCUGUGGGGCACUCGCGUUAUUUCCGAAGAAUCUGCGUAAAUACUAGGGUUUUCAGGAAAUGCAGCGUUUCUGUGUAAUCCUUGUAGAUUUGGCGUCGGUAAUAGGGCGUAUUAGGUAGCCUCCGAGAAUGCGGCGUAAUCCGAUUGUUUCCGCGUUACCACCCUGUGAUUUCGCGUAAGUACUUGCAUUUAUACGUAAUACUUGUGUAAAUUCCUGUCGGUUUUCGAUAACUCGUGGAUGACCUUGUAGUUCCCGUGUAUUUACAACUGUCGGCUUAUUAAUCGAAGAUAUUACCGAGGUUAUAUGAUCGACUGCAUUUUUUUUUUGCAUAAUCUGUGGGGCACUCGCGUUAUUUCCGAAGAAUCUGCGUAAAUACUAGGGUUUUCAGGAAAUGCAGCGUUUCUGUGUAAUCCUUGUAGAUUUGGCGUCGGUAAUAGGGCGUAUUUAGGUAGCCUCCGAGAAUGCGGCGUAAUCCGAUUGUUUCCGCGUUACCACCCUGUGAUUUCGCGUAAGUACUUGCAUUUAUACGUAAUACUUGUGUAAAUUCCUGUCGGUUUUCGAUAACUCGUGGAUGACCGUGUAGUUCCCGUGUACUUACAACUGUCGGCUUAUUAAUCGAAGAUAUUACCGAGGUUAUAUGAUCGACUGCAUUUUUUUUUGCAUAAUCUGUGGGGCACUCGCGUUAUUUCCGACGAAUCUGCGUAAAUACUAGGGUUUUCAGGAAAUGCAGCGUUUCUGUGUAAUCCUUGUAGAUUUGGCGUCGGUAAUAGGGCGUAUUAGGUAGCCUCCGAGAAUGCGGCGUAAUCCGAUUGUUUCCGCGUUACCACCCUGUGAUUUCGCGUAAGUACUUGCCUUUGUACGUAAUACUUGUGUAAAUUCCUGUCGGUUUUCGAUAACUCGUAGAUGACCGUGUAGUUCCCGUGUAUUUACAACUGUCGGCUUAUUAAUCGAAGAUAUUACCGAGGUUAUAUGAUCGACUGCAUUUUUUUUUUUGCAUAAUCUGAGGGGCACUCGCGUUAUUUCCGACGAAUCUGUGUAAAUACUAGGGUUUUCAGGAAAUGCAGCGUUUCUGUGUAAUCCUUGUAGAUUUGGCGUCGGUAAUAGGGCGUAUUUAGGUGGCCUCCGAGAAUGCGGCGUAAUCUGAUUCUUUCCGCAUUACCACCCUGUGAUUUCGCGUAAGUACUUGCCUUUGUACGUAAUACUUGUGUAAAUUCCUGUCGGUUUUCGAUAACUCGUAGAUGACCGUGUAGUUCCCGUGUAUUUACAACUGUCGGCUUAUUAAUCGAAGAUAUUACCGAGGUUAUUUUAUCGACUGCAUUUUUUUUUUUUUGCAUAAUCCGCGGGGCACUCGUUAUAUCCGACGAAUUUGCGUAACUACUAGCAUUUUCAUAAAGUCCGGCAUUUCUGCGUAACCUACAGAUUUUACAAAAAUCUAAGUACGCAAUCUACAGCGUGGGACAUAACCCCACUGUCUUCGCUUUACCAUCCGGUGAUUAGAAGUAUUUGUCCGUUUUCUUUUUAGGUAAUCCCUCGGUUUUUCAAUAAUUCCUAACGUACCGACGUAGUUCCUAGGUUUAUCAGCAAUACCCAGGUUAUUUUCUUAGAUACUAGCGAGGUUACUUAAACGAUAUUUUUGUCCUCCGAGCUUUCUCCGUAAUCUCAUUUUUUUCCGCAUUACCAUCUCGUGAUUUCGCUCAAGUAUAUUGUUUUUUCCGUAAUGGAUGUCGAUUUUUCCUAACUCCUAGAUGACCGUGUUAUUUCCAGGAUAUCUGUAACGAUCAGCUUAUUAAUUCUAGAUAUUAACGAGGUUAUUUAGUCGAUAGCAUUUUUGAAUAGUCCCUGAGGCGGUUGCAUUAUUUACGUAGACUAUACGAACUACCAGCAUCUUUAUAAAGCUCAUCGUUUCUGGGUAACCCUUACAGAUUUUGGCUUAUCCGACUGGCGAUUUGAAGUAAGUAUUUGUGCUUUAUUUUUUAUUCUUAUGUAAUAUCUGUCUUCAAUAAUUACUAAUAUACCGACGUAAUUUUAGGUUACCCAUCUUAUUUCCCUAGAUUCUAGAGAGGUUACUUAAACGACAACAUGGUUGCAUAAUCCCAGGGGCAUAUUCGUUAUUUCCUACGAAUCAAGUAACGACCAGCGUCUUCAUAAAGUGCAGCAUUUCUGUAUAUCCUCAUAGAUUUGUCGUCAAUCCUAGAACGUAUUUAGGUGGCCUCCGAGCGUCAGGCGUAACGUCAUAGUGUCCGCAUAAGCGAAUAAAUUUGUUUCUACCUAA